ACUACGGGUGGCAGCAGUGAGGAAUAUUGGUCAAUGGGCGGAAGCCUGAACCAGCCAAGUCGCGUGAGGGAAUAAGGCCCUACGGGUCGUAAACCUCUUUUGCCGGGGAGCAAGGGCGGGGACGUGUCCCGGCCCGGAGAGUACCCGGAGCAAAAGCAUCGUCUAACUCCGUGCCAGCAGCCGCGGUAAUACGGAGGAUGCGAGCGUGAUCCGGAUUUAUUGGGGUAAAAGGGUGCGUAGGCCGGCUUGUAAGUCAGCGGUAAAAAUUCGGGGCUCAACCCCGUCCGGCCGUUGAAACUGGGGGCCGUGAGUGGGCGAGAAGAAGGCGGAAUGCGUGGUGUAGCGGUGAAAUGCAUAGAUAUCACGCAGAACACCGAUUGCGAAGGCAGCUUACUAAACUGUGACGGACAUUGAUGCUCGAAAGCGUGGGUAUCAAACAGGAUUAGAUACCCGUGUAGUC
rnacentral:rRNA from 1 species